CCUACGGGAGACAGCAGUGAGGAAUAUUGGUCAAUGGACGAGAGUCUGAACCAGCCAAGUAGCGUGAAGGAUGACUGCCCUAUGGGUUGUAAACUUCUUUUAUAUGGGAAUAAAAUGUUCCACGUGUGGGAUUUUGUAUGUACCAUAUGAAUAAGGAUCGGCUAACUCCGUGCCAGCAGCCGCGGUAAUACGGAGGUUCCGAGCGUUAUCCGGAUUUAUUGGGUUUAAAGGGAGCGUAGGUGGAUUGUUAAGUCAGUUGUGAAAGUUUGCGGCUCAACCGUAAAAUUGCAGUUGAAACUGGGAGUCUUGAGUACAGUAGAGGUGGGCGGAAUUCGUGGUGUAGCGGUGAAAUGCUUAGAUAUCACGAAGAACUCCGAUUGCGAAGGCAGCUCACUGGACUGCAACUGACACUGAGGCUCGAAAGUGUGGGUAUCAAACAGGAUUAGAUACCCUGGUAGUC
rnacentral:rRNA from 1 species